UUGGUUUUCUUUAAGUUUGAUGUCGAAGCCCCACGGCUCAACCCGUGGAGGGUCAUUGGAAACUGGGAGACUUGAGUUCAGAAAGAGGAAAGUGAAUUCCAUGUGUAGCGGUGAAAUGCGUAGAGAUAUGGAGGAACACCAGUGGGGAAGGCGACUUUCUGGUCUGUAACUGACACUGAGGCGCGAAAGCGUGGGGAGCAAACAGGAUUAGAUACCCUGGUAGUUCACGCCGUAAACGAUGAGUGCUAAGUGUUAGAGGGUUUCCGCCCUUUAGUGCUGAAGUUAACGCAUUAAGCACUCCGCCUGGGGAGUACGGCCGCAAGGCUGAAACUCAAAGGAAUUGACGGGGGCCCGCACAAGCGGUGGAGCAUGUGGUUUAAUUUGAAGCAACGCGAAGAACCUUACCAGGUCUUGACAUCCUUUGACAACCCUAGAGAUAGGGCUUUUCCUUUGGGAGCAGAGUGACAGGUGGUGCAUGGUUGUUGUCAGCUCGUGUCGUGAGAUGUUGGGUUAAGUCCCGCAACGAGCGCAACCCUUGAUCUUAGUUGCCAUCAUUAAGUUGGGCACUCUAAGGUGACUGCCGGUGACAAACCGGAGGAAGGUGGGGAUGACGUCAAAUCAUCAUGCCCCUUAUGACCUGGGCUACACACGUGCUACAAUGGACGGUACAAAGAGCUGCAAGACCGCGAGGUGGAGCUAAUCUCAUAAAACCGUUCUCAGUUCGGAUUGUAGGCUGCAACUCGCCUACAUGAAGCUGGAAUCGCUAGUAAUCGCGGAUCAGCAUGCCGCGGUGAAUACGUUCCCGGGCCUUGUACACACCGCCCGUCACACCACGAGAGUUUGUAACACCCGAAGUCGGUGGGGUAACCUUUUGGAGCCAGCCGCCUAAGGUGGACCA
rnacentral:rRNA from 1 species